rnacentral:rRNA from 1 species
UACGAAGAGGGCUAGCGUUGUUCGGAAUCACUGGGCGUAAAGGGCGCGUAGGCGGCUUUGUAAGUCGGGGGUGAAAGCCUGUGGACUCAACCUACAGAAUUGCCUUCGAGUACUGCAUGGCUUGGAGACCGGAAGAGUAAGUGGAACUGCGAGUGUAGAGGUGAAAUUCGUAGAUAUUCGCAAGAACACCAGUGGCGAAGGCGGCUUACUGGUCCGGUUCUGGACGCUGAGGCGGCGAAAAGCGUGGGGAGACAAACAGG